rnacentral:sRNA from 1 species
AUGGGAAAGAAACCUGGAAAGUACCCUUGGCUGUGUACAUUUGAGUAAAGAGAGCACUAUAAAAUCAAAAACCAAUGAAAUGGUUUCCAGAACACAGAACUAUUAAGCUUAAGAAAAGGACAGAAGGAACUGAAGAGAGAGGAACUGUUUUGGAGCAUCACACUUCCACCUCAGAAGAAAUAAGGAAGGAAGGAGGAGGGUGUUCCCACGGCUCUUCAACCAGGCGGGCUCUUCAGCCUACAUCCCCAUCUCAUCAAGUAAAAGGGAUUUUUCAACUGGACCAACCAGAUGGUUUAACAGUGCACUCCCACACCAUUCAACUACGCAAGGGAGAUACACUUAACAUAUGCAGUCGUAUAACACCUACUAACAUUUUCAAACAUUAAACCUUUAAAAAAGAGUUCUAAAGAAAUAGAAGCUUGAAGUAUCAUCUCUCAAGUAUAUAGACACUACUUCAUGGUGUGGUAAUAUAUGCAUAUAGAAGCUAGUAAACACCUCCAGGAGAUGCAAAAGGAAUUAGAACUGCCACAAGGUGCAAGCAAAACCUUGAGGUAAUCAAUCUGCAUCCCAUUUUGGAUGAGAAUAUUUGCAACUUUGAAGGUUAUUUUAAGGACAGCAGCAGAAGAAUUAUGGCAGCUUCUUUAAAAUAUGAAGACUUCAAAGUUAUUUAUCCAAACCAACCUGAUCAUUUCUUAAGAGUGAAUAUACCUUGGAAGAUGUGUCCUGCCUUUAGUAGCGUCACAAUGGAUUACAUCCUCUAUAAAGCAGUCUGGGAUAUUCUGCCCAAUCAGAGGCUAACAUCUGCCACAAGACAAAUAUGGUGCCUGCCCCCAUGGAGCUCAUAUUCGAAUGGAGAAAAUGUCAACAAGUAUCCCACGGAGUGAACACUUCAAAAGGAGAAGCACAGGUGAGAAAAUCGAAUUUGGACACCGUUGAGGAGACUAUUGCAGUCAUCCAAGCUCAAGAUGGUGGAGCUUCAUCCUUGAGAAUAACCAAUGGGGAUAGAUUUAAGAGACACUUAGAGUCUGCAGCCAACAGGGCUGAAUGAGCAGAGAGUUAUGAUUCAGAAGAUCAUCUAAAAUUGAACAGCUGCCACUACUGGCAAUAAGUCUACUGCCAUUUGGUAGAUAACCUUCUUAUCACACAGAAAAAUAUCAGUACAGACAAAUAGACUGCAAAGAAAAUGAGACCAUCAGCAAAGAAGAUAAAGAAGUUUGUACAAAGCAACUUUUUAUAAAUGGAUGGCUGUCAGGCAAAAAUAAAUUUCCUGUGGACAAGACCAAGAGCAAGGCAAGAGGAAAAUAAACAUGUUUAAACUA